rnacentral:lncRNA from 1 species
CACAUUAAGGGUCUCACGACCCAUAAUAGCAGUCAUUCAGUUACAAGCCAGCGGAAGAGUUUAAAACUGUCUGAAUACAGACAGGUGCAACUAGAAGGCACAUGGCCUGACUAUACUACAGACCAAACGUAGGGCCAGAUCGUAGCUGGGACACCAGCUACUCGUCGUCGUCGAUGUCUACGAAGAACCCUCCAUUAGGGUCAUUAGCAACCUCUGCAACAUUUAUUAAGCAAACAUGAGUACGAAGGUACUCAGCAAGACUUUAGGAUAACUAACUACUCAUGCAAAGUAUCAACAAGGUAUGGUGGGGUUUCAUGCGGAAAGCCAGCAUUUGACUCGUGGCUAGAUAAGUUGCAUUUUUAAAUAAUUUUGACAACUUGAUUUCUCGCACACGAGUCCACUAACACCACAACAAUACACCAUCGUGGAAUCAUUCCGUCUCCAUACGGAAAUGCCGUCCACGACACUCACGCUUAUCUUGACAAUUUUAUGAGUAGCCAUUUAAGUUAUCUAUGAACAACAUAUGUCUCCAAGUAGUCCAUAUCCGCGGACGCGGCUAUUCGAAUAGAUCAUAACCCUUCAGGGGUGUACUUCGUCACACAUGAUCUCGCCACUUAUCGCCAUGUGCACGUCAUGCACCUCGGCAACCUUCAAGCGGAAGCCUAGCGAGGGAGUCGGCCACGACCGUUAACCACACUAGUACCUAGUCCAGGUUUAUCGCCUAUCUGAGAGUAACCCGUACGGAAGUCCGGCCGGGGUUUCCGCCACGGCCUCAAACGAUGUGCGCAGGGUUCCCAAGCCCACCAUCCGGGUGCCACUUGGUACACCGUGCCACUGCCUACCGCAUCAUAGCCCACCUCUCAGGUCAGCACUAUGCACGGCCUCCAGCAUGACUAUAAACACCAGAAACUACUUGCAACUCCUGGACCGAGUACUAAGCGAUUAAUAAGUCAAGCGGGGUCAUAUUUCAGGGCCCAGCAUGUGGUAGUAUCUCGUCUUGGAUUACAUACACGGAACUCAGUUCCUAAGGACGGUUCCAAUGAAACAACCCGCCAUGUACUCCUACACAGCCUUUCACCGGUACCUUUACCAAAUCAGGUUCAACACACAACCUUUCCUUACCGAACACAUUCUCACAAUUCUGUUCAUCUCCCAGAUGACAGACCUUACACAACUCUAAGCAUAGCAUGCAUAGCAGGAUAAGGCACAUCAUAGCUCAAGCUACUACCAGGUAUGCUAGGUUGCAAGGUUCGGCUAUUUACUGUGACAAGGUUAGGUCAUGCAAAGGAAGUGGGUUCAACUAACGUGGCAAAAGAAGUUGAAGCAUUUGAUCCUAAUGCAAUAAGUAAGUGCAGGAGCAGAACAUGGGAUUUAUCGGGAUGAUCAAAAUGGUUGCUUGCCUUGUUGCUCGGAGAAGUGACAAUAUCCGUCACACGGAUAUUCGGUGGAAUCCGGGGGAGCGGAGCCUACCGAAGGAAUGAAAACAAUCAAUAACAAACAUAUGCAAUCGAGAUGAUGCAUGAGCAUGGCAUGAGAAUGCAAGGUGACAAACUAAUAUAGUUAGCAUAUAUUAGGUUUGAAGUUGAUUUGAAUCAUAUUCAAAUAUCACUUCAAACGAGGUAUUCUCGGAUACCGUUUUAAUUGAUUCGACCUGAUGCUCAGAUCAACUCGAUGUUAACAUGCAUGGGAUGACAUGUUAAGUUGCUGGUUUGUAAUUAGAACAGUGUGUGAUCAUGUCAUUCAUAAAGAAAUUUAAAUAUUUUCCAUAUUCCAUUUAUAAAAUAUUUAUAAGAAUUGACUUAUUCAUUAAUCUACAUGUUUGGGUUCUUUAACAAUUUCAAACAUGAUUGAAAAUAGCAUAUUCAGAUUCCUUUAAUUUUUUUGAUACUUUUUCAUAUAUAAAUUAUUUUCAUUGGAGUUACACAUUAAUUUCUAUGAAUUUUUGAAGUUUUAAACAUUUCUGGAAUUAUUUUUAUACUGGAAAAUAAUUAUACUGCAUCAGCAUGACAUCAGCAGGUCCAACUGGCCGUUGAAAGUCAGACCUGACCAGUGGGACCCACUAGUCAGUGUGUCUGGUCAGUUUUAGAUUAUAAUUAAACUUAAUUAGCUGAUUAAUCUUACUGGACCCACAUGUCAGUGUCUUAUUAAUUUAUCUGAUUUAUUUUUAUUAUUACUAAACUAUCCAGAGGCUGGCCCCACAUGUCAGUGCCUCAGGCCAGCUGAGUUCCACCGGCGGCGAGGUCAUCCUCGCCGGCGGGGAGCCUCCGGCGACCAUCAGAACGACGGAGGGGCUCGGAAACGGCUCACAGGGGGCCAAACUCUACGCGGAGAGCACCAGAGGAACGACACUUCUCCCAUGGGCUCAUUUUUGCACUUGGCUGGGGCUGAUCUGGCCGGAGAUGACGCCGGCGACGAGCUUGGCGGCGGCCAAGGCUGGGGCGUUAUCGGGGUCUUUGAUACGGAGGGAAGUACGCACGGGACUCAGCUCCUACGACAUCUACGCGACGGCCUGAAGCUGCUGGUGGCCUCAGAAGGACGAGUUGAUCACCGGAGGGCUACCGGCGAUGAGCUCCUGCGGCAGAUCUCGUCGGGCUCCGAUGGAACUAGGCCUAGAGGAGGGGAUCGAUGGGGAGAUCUUGGGGAAAGGAGCGCAAGCUCACGAGGAGUGCAGUAGUGGCGCUAGCUUGCUCGGGGACGGCCUGGAGAGGGAGAACGCUGGCGACGAACUUCGGUGACCCGAGGAAGAAGACGACUGCGUCUCGUCGUUUCACUGCGUUUGGGCGUCGGGCUCGUGGCUAGGGAGCUUCAGGGAGAUGCGGCGGAGCUAUUGCGCGGCUCAGAAGGAAGGAGGGGAGGCUAGAACGACGGCGAGAUCGAGCUCUGCUCGGGCUCCAAUGGCGGCAGAAAGAAACGAGGCAGAGGGGGAGAAUGAGCUGGGGAACGGAUAGCUCCGAGCUCGGGGGGGGGGGGGGAAAGGGGCGGGGGAAGGGAAAACGACGGGCUGGGGGGGGGGGGGGUUAUCCCCGUGCUUGCAAGCGCGAAGCGGUGGCCAGGGAGGCGCACAGGUGCGUGGCCACGCCGGAGUAUGCGGCGGCCACCUCCUGCUGCCCACUGGUGGGGGAGGAAGACGACAGGAAGGAGAUGGGCCGGGCCAGGUGAGAGUCAGGUAAGCUUUUCUCAUUUUCUUUCUGUUUUAUUUCUGUUUUGCUAUUUCAUUGAUUUACCACUUAUUUUAACUCCCAAAUAGUUUUUUAAACUAUUUUAAACACACCACAAUAUUUGUUGGAAUAUUUCCAACCAUUCCCAAAGUUUUCAAUAUUUUUGAAAGUUUAAAGUUUCUGAUUUCAAAUUUAAAACUUGAAACUAGUAGAUUUUUGCAUUUAUUUAAAAUGCUUAAAGUGUCAAGAAAAUGGUUUUCUUCAUUGCUCAUUUACUUUCAUGAUUUAUCAGAAAGAUUGAACUUUUCUUGAGGCCAUUUUGGGUUCAUUGAUUUUAACUAGUUUGAGAUUUCCUUUAUUUAAAGAAGUGGCUAGGGUUUUGAUUUUUCCUUCACCACUUUAUUUGUUCUUGUUGAAAAUUUCUUAGAUGCAAUGCAAAGAAGACAUGAGCACAAGGCUAACUUGCUUAAGGUGUCAGGGAUGUGACAACUCACCCCCACUCAAAAGAAUCUUGUCCCGAGAUUUAGAAGUCAUCAGGAAUAAUGCAGGAUACUCAAGUUGGAGACGAUCCUCUCUUUCCCAAGUUGCCUCCUUUUCAGAAUGAUUUGACCAUUGAACUUUAAGAAACUUGAGGUUUCGACGUCGAGUGGCAUGCUCAGCUUGAUCAAGAAUACGCACGGGGUAUUCUCGGUAUGAAAGGUUAUCUUGGAGAUCAAGCGUUUCGUGGUCCACUUCACAGAUAGGAUCCGAAAAGCAACGCCUGAGUUGCGAGACAUGCAAGACAUCAUGAACCUUGGAAAGAUGCGGAGGAAGUUCCAACUGGUAGGCAACUUCUCCUUGUUUGGCAAGAAUACGAAAAGGACCAAUGUAACGAGGAGCCAACUUUCCCUUGAUACCGAAUCGAUGGGUACCCUUCAAAGGUGUAACCCGAAGGUAAGCCUUCUCGUCAACUUCAAAGGUCACAGCCUUAUGAUGACGAUCAUAUUGGCUCUUUUGACGAGACUGGGCUGUUUUCAACUUUUCACGAAUAAUGCGGACCUGCUCUUCUGCAUCCUGGAUCAUGUCCGGGCCAAAGAGUUGCCUCUCUCCGGUUUCUGACCAAUUAAGAGGUGUUCGACAUCUUCGUCCAUAGAGAACUUCAAAAGGAGCUUUGCCCAAGCUUGAUUGGUAACUAUUGUUAUAAGCAAAUUCGGCUAAUGGAAGGCACUUCUCCCAAUUCAUACCGAACGAUAUAACACAAGCUCGGAGCAUAUCUUCUAGCAUUUGAUUCACCUUUCUACUUGACCACUUGAUUGGGGAUGGAAAGCAGUGCUAAAAGAUAAGUGAGUCCCCAUGGCAUUCUGAAAACUUUCCCAGAAGCGAGAAGUAAAGAUACUCCCACGGUCCAAGUUAAUCUCCAGGGGAACACCAUGAAGAGACACUAUUCGAGAGACAUAUAAUUCUGCUAGCUGGCUAGCUGUUAUACUCUCACGAACAGGAAGAAAAUGAGCCACUUUGGAAAGACGGUCAAUGAUCACAAAGAUAGCAUUAUUUCCUUUCUUGGUCUUGGGAAAUCCGGUAAUGAAAUCCAUGCUAACUUUAUCCCAUUUCCAUUCGGGAAUAGCUAGAGGUUGAAGGGUGCAAGCAGGCCUUUGAUGUUCUGCCUUAACUCGACGACAAACGUCGCAGUUAGCAACGAACUCAGCAAUUUCUCUCUUCAUCCUAGUCCACCAGAACCUCUGGCGUAGGUCCUGAUACAUCUUAGUACUACCGGGAUGAAUGGUGAGAGGAGAAUCGUGAGCCUCCUUAAGGAUUAACUGCCUUAGAUGUGGGUUCUUAGGAACCACUAAACGAUUCUGGAAGAACACAACACCUUGAUCGUUCAUGGAAAAUUCUUUAGCGUUUCCGCUAAAAAUAUUCUCCUUGAUCUGUGAUAUACCCUUGUCACGCUUUUGGCCAGCUAUAAUUUCAUCCUUAAGAGUAGGCUUCGGCACCAGGGUAGAAAGGAAUCCUUGAGGAACAAUAUGAAGAUUCAACUUCCGAAAGUCCUCAUAAAGAUGUGGUUGACCUUGUUGUAGCAUCAAAUUGUUACAAUAAGAUUUACGACUUAGCGCAUCGGCCAUAACAUUGGCCUUCCCCGGGGUGUAAGUUAUCCCUAAGUCGUAAUCCGAGAUCAACUCAACCCACCCUCUUUGCCUGAGAUUCAAAUCCGGCUGGGUGAAGAUAUAUUUCAGACUUUGGUGAUUAGUGAAUAUUUCACAACGAUUACCCAGAAGGUACUGUCGCCAGGUUUUUAGUGCAUGGACCACAGCUGCAAGCUCAAGGUCAUGUGUGGGAUAAUUAUCCUCAUGUGGACGCAACUGUCGAGAUGCGUAUGCGAUCACAUGACGAUCUUGCAUGAGAAUGCAACCUAAUCCUUGUCGCGAGGCGUUGCAGUAGAUAACAAAGUCCUUAGAAAAAUCUGGUGGUAGCAACACAUGUGCGGAAGUCAGGCGUCUUUUCAGUUCCUGAAAACUAUGCUCACACUGUGGUGUCCACUCGAACUUUUUAUCCUUCUUGAGGAGUUCAGUUAGAGGCUUUGCAACCUUGGAGAAAUUCUCGACAAAGCGGCGACAAUAGCUCGCUAGACCAAGAAAACUCCUAACUUGCUUAACCGAUUCAGGUUGAGUCCAAUCAAGGACAGCUUGAACUCUCUCGGGAUUGACAGCAAUACCCUUACCAGAGAUUACGUGACCUAGAUAGGUCACUUCUGGUAACCAAAAUUCAGAUUUUGAAAACUUGGCAUAAAGGCGAUGCUCUCGAAGUUUCAUCAAUACCAGCCUUAGAUGCUCGGCAUGUUCUUGUUCGUUCUUCGAGUAGAUGAGAAUAUCAUCGAGGUAUACCACGACGAAUUUAUCCAAAUACUCCAUGAAGAUUGAAUUCAUCAGACGAGAGAAGGUGGCUGGGGCAUUGGUUAAACCGAAGGACAUGACGGUGUACUCGUAUUGGCCAUAUCGAGUAACAAAAGCCGUUUUUGGAAUGUCCCCGUUCUUGAUCUUGAUUUGAUGGUAUCCCAACCUCAAAUCCAUUUUGGAGAAUACUGAGGAUCCAGCGAGCUGAUCGUAUAGAUCGUUGAUCCUGGGGAGCGGAUACUUGUUCUUUAUGGUGACCAGAUUAACCGGUCGGUAAUCUACAACCAUCCGAUCCGUUCCGUCUUUCUUCUUGACGAAGAGGACGGGGCAAGCCCAAGGAGAAGAGCUAGGACGAAUGAAACCUUUGUUCAAGGCCUCAUCUAGUUGCUUCUUAAGUUCGGCUAGCUCCAGGGGUGCCAUCUUAUAUGGUCUUCUGGCUAUUGGGACAGUUCCCGGAACAAGAUCUAUCACGAACUCUACAUCUCUGUCAGGUGGAAUUCCUGGCAGUUCCUCUGGAAAAAAUCCGGGAAGUCACGGACUACCGGAAUGUCUUCAAGUUUCGGAAGAGGGUUGGCAUUUAGGGAACAGAGUUGGCAUUUGGCAACUCGAGUAGAGACAUUUACUAUCUCACACGAGGGAUGGGUAAGCUGGACAUUUCUAGAAUGGGUAUCAAUCUUGGCAUAGUGAGCUGACAUCCAGUCCAUGCCCAAGAUGAUAUUAAUAUCCGAAGAUUUAAAUGCUAUCAAUGAGGCUAGAAAUACUAGCCUGACUACUAGAAUUUCAUUGUCAUAGGUUAUCCUAGAGGUUUUCCAUUUACUACGAGGAGUUUGGACAACCAAUGGAAUUGGCAUAUCACAAAAAGAUAUGUUAUGCAACUGUGCAUAACUUUCUGAAAUGAAGGAAUGAGAAGACCCAGUGUCAAAGAGAACAAACGCUGGGUGAUGAUUAACAAGAAGCGUACCCAGCAUGACGUCGGGAUCCUCUGCAGCUUCUUCUGCUGACACAUAGUUCACACGGCCAUGUGAAGGAGUUGGCUUCACAUAGUAAGCUUUGCCCGACUUGGCUUGCCCGACGGACUUUUCGGGUUGCUUGGCACCCACAUUUUGAGGACACUCAUGGGAAUAGUGCCCUGGUUCUCCACACUUGUAGCAUAUCACUUGGUUGGCACGUGGUGCAGCAUUGCUAGCUGGACCACCAUAAGUCUUUGCUGGAGGGUUGGCCUGAUUCGUCUGAGGCGCCACGUAGGAUGGCCUCGGAGUGUAUCUUGGCGGCAGAGAACUGUUCGGAACACACAUCCUGCGUUUUGGAAACGCGGAACCAGAAGACGAGCCAAAGUCACAGGAGUGCUUCCUUGUGGCUUCAAAGUGAGUAUGACCAGUCUCGGCACUGAUCGCCUUGUUGACCAGGGCUUGAAAGCUUGCACACUCGUGGAGGCGCAGAUCACGAGGAAGCUCAGGGCUCAGACCCUUACGAAAUCUUGCUUGCUUCUUGGCGUCAGUAGACACCUCCUCUGUUGCAUAGCGGCCGAGGUUACCGAACUCGCGGCUACAGGCAUCCACGGUCAACUUGCCCUUAGUGAAGGCACAGAACUCUUCUCUCUUUUUGUCCAUCAGGCCCUCUAGAAUAUGGUGCAGACGAAAAGCUGCACUGAAGUCUGCCCAUGUGGCUGCUGGUUCAGCAGGACGCAUAGCUUCAAAAUUCUCCAACCACAGAUUGGCGGGUCCUUCCAGGAAAUACGCCGCAAAGGUCACCUUGUCGGCCUCAGACACAUUCACAGAGCGAAUCUUGCGUGAGAUGCUGCACAGCCAGUCAUCAGCGUCGAGGGGAUUGACAGAAUGAUGAAACUUUGGAGGAUUCAGCUUCACAAAGUCGUUGAGGGACACUGCAACAUUCCUAGGCUGACGAGCCGUAUUCUGCUCAUUACGCUCUAACAGUCGGUUGGUCUCCCUUUUGUUUCUCUCUGCCUCAAGCAUCACUUCCGCCAGAGAGGGCGGGUGAGGCAGGUCUUCCUGCGACGCUUGACUACCCUCGCCUUGCUCAUGACCAGGGGCACGGUUCAACCUGGUGAACACCAUCCUCACAAACAAACUCAUAGCUUAGACCAAUAUCAUAUCAAUACUAGCUAUGGAUUAAGAAUGUACUGAACACACGGAAUGCGGAAAUAAAUAUCCGAACAGCAUGGUAACAAGCAACUGCUAUAUAUACACCAUGGUUCAUACACACCCUUACAUAGUUCAGUACAACCUUAAUCGAAGAGCAAACUACUGAAAUUAUGAAACUACUCAUCAGAGGCUUACAAACUUCCUAUACAUUAUUUAUCUAGGCCUCCGGAAUUCAUUUCACAUCCCAGGCAUACUUCACAAGUCACGCAGGACUGUGAACGUACGGCUACUACCAUACUAUGCUUCCGCUCACAGCUCAGGCAUCCGCAUAGAACAUCUCAUAGAGAUUACCUCCAUGACCUGGAAGCUCAACCUGCAGAUCAGGAAACACUCUGGCCUGAGAUCCCUGGGAUCCAUAAGGACACGGAUGUGGCCUUGGUCCCCUGACUGGUGGUAAGAGGGGUCCCCGAAGAGGUGUGACUCCUCCUAUAGCUGGCCAGUCAACGUGGGCCGGAAGAUGGGUCCUAACAGGGUUCAGCAUCUCCAUAUCUCCGUACCCUGUCUGGACUACCGGUGCCAGCUGCGUCAAAGCCGUCCACAGACGGGCACGGGUAGCAUAAAGCUCCAUGCGGAGAGCACGAGCAUCCCUGUCUCUGUUCUCUAGCAUCUCAACAGUGGACUGCAGUAAUGGAUCCUCCAUAGAAGAAUCAAAAUAGACUCCACUGAGGUAUCCCUCUUCACCAGGCUGAGAGGCUGGAACAUAGCAGAACUCUGAAUUCUGCAGCAGUGCAUGUCUCGCUCUCAUAAUGGUCAGCAUUGAAUAGGCAGCAUCUUGUACUGCCAUGUCAACAGUGACUCCCAACCCAUAGAACCAAUGGAUUGGCUCCUCAGCUCCAGGGUAGUCUGGAAAUACCCUAAGAGUGCAGAUGUACUGGCUCUGGUUGAAGUCUCGGUACUGUUCCUCCACUGUGUACUCGGGGUACCAGCGGUAACCGCACACCGACAUCACCCUGACCAGCAUGGCCGUAUGACCCGGUACAUCAAUGCACCUGGUCAGACGUACCACCUAACGAGAAGGACGGCCAGGCAUCUAUAAAUAGAGAGUAAUGCAAAAGCAUUAGAGCUCUGAAUGCAAAAUUGGGCAGCAUAACGGUUGUAAAUGCUCAAAAACAAAUUUUGAGACAACCCAAAAAUGGAAUAGCGUAACCACUCAACUAUCAAGUUCAACUCUGUGAUCAUCAAACUUACUUCCUUUUUCCUAGGAAUGAAAGAAACCCAAUAUCUAUUGACCCGUAGUCCUAUAAUCUACCGAUCAGAAACACAAGCCUAGAAGAAGAUGAGUAACCUAGUCCUUAAUUCCCGCAGAAAAGACGAGGAUGACCAGAAUAGAAUAACUUGAGAAGAGAACAAGAGUCUUACGUUCCCUUCCACAAACAAUUCCCUUAUAUAUAACUAAAGCAAUUCUAGACUCAACUUCGACCAGUUUGGCUUAGUAAUCCUACAGUCAGUCAGGCUCUGAUACCAACGCUGUCGGGACCCCGAUCCUAAGUCAUAGGAAUCCAGCCUGUAACACGUCGCAUCUCUUUGCGGUCUCACACACGGUUAACUCCACGGCUGCAGCCUUACCUUAGCCGGGACUGUUUGCGUCUUUUGAUGCACGUAUGCAUUAGUGUCGCUAGCAUUCCAAUGUCAAAGAACCCGAAUCGACAAGUCUAGUCACAAACCAAAGUGGCAGUACCGUACAAGGACAAGCAUACAUGACCCAACAAAGCAGGUGUCGGUCACCAGCGAGUGUAGAUGAGUCGUAGCAAGCUACAAGGACUCCAUUACAUCGCGUGACAUUCCCACAAAGGGGACAGACACAGCAGCUAAGAAGGACACAUGCCGGUCAACCAAUGUGUCCGGAGCAGUAGCGAAGUACCAAGGCUCGUUGGAUCACAAAGGGGCAUUUCCUUGUAAGGAGUGCUACUAAAGUUCACGACUAGGUAAUCGAACCCCAUACAUAUCAAGUACGAUACACGUACGCAUGGCAUACCGAUAUGUAUAGAUACAUCGAUGGCAUCACAACAUAACCAUAAACAUACAAGCUUUAUUUAAGAGGCUCGGAAGAGCCACACACAUAAUAUUACACAUUAAGGGUCUCACGACCUAUAAUAGCAGUCAUUUAGUUACAAGCCAGCGGAAGAGUUUAGAACUGUCUGAGUACAGACAGGUGCAACUAGAAGGCACAUGGCCUGACUAUACUACAGACCCAACGUAGGGCCAGAUCGUAGCUGGGACACCAGCUACUCGUCGUCGUCGAUGUCUACGAAGAACCCUCCAUUAGGGUCAUUAGCAACCUC